GAAUUGUUCGCAAUGGGCGCAAGCCUGACGACGCAACGCCGCGUGGAGGAUGAAGAUCUUCGGGUCGUAAACUCCUGUCGAGCGGGAAGAACACUUUCCGGGUGAACAAUCCGGAAGGCUGACGGUACCGCUAAAGGAAGCCCCGGCUAACUCCGUGCCAGCAGCCGCGGUAAUACGGGGGGGGCAAGCGUUGUUCGGAAUUACUGGGCGUAAAGGGCUCGUAGGCGGCCAACUAAGUCGGACGUGAAAUCCCCAGGCUCAACCUGGGAACUGCGUCCGAUACUGGAUGGCUUGAAUCCGGGAGAGGGAUGCAGAAUUCCAGGUGUAGCGGUGAAAUGCGUAGAUAUCUGGAGGAAUACCGGUGGCGAAGGCGGCAUCCUGGACCGGCAUUGACGCUGAGGAGCGAAAGCCAGGGGAGCAAACGGG
rnacentral:rRNA from 1 species